UACUCACAAGUUUCUGCUUGGCUUGGCAGGCGCCUGGCCCCUCCCUUCCCCUGUUUACAGCCAGCUUCAAGAAGUGAGAGGUUGUGCUCGGAGCUGUUGGAUCCGGCUCGCUUUGUAGUCCCUGGGUUUCGGAUUUACUGCUUAAAAUCCAUGGGCGUGCAGAGCUGCCAUUUCACACAUCUCUCUGUCAGAGUUGCAGAGCUGAUGGCUGAAGAGCACUCUCUGGAACCUGCUGCUGGCACACAGAGCUGCCCUCCAGUCUGCUGUCAGUACCAGAGGUUACUGAUUUGAAGGUUUGCACCUUCUACCAGAGGUGAAGGAUUGCAGAAGGGAGUUGGAGGAGAGGAUGGAUCCCUGCCUGGCAGUCACCACAAGCCAGAUACUCUGUGAAUGAUUAUCCCAAGAAGUUCUUAAUUACUGUGGAGUCACUCCAGCUCUUUAAAAUGUAUUGCCUGUACUGGUACUAUAAAUCCAUUUUCCUCUCCAUUUGCUGUGGAGGCCUUUGUACCCUGGGUUCUGUGUAAGUGAAGGCCCAGAGAUGCUGCUGUGGAUUAUUCCUCAUGCUGCUGGCUGUCACCUACAGCUGAGCCUGUGCCGUGGGGAUAUGGCUACAAAAGACCCUGAUAACCAAACAGGUCAGGUAUUAUAUGGCCUAGUUUUUAAAAUUCUGAUUAUCACUCUGGAGAAAGAGCCACAAAAAUGGUACAGAAUUGUCUGUCUUUGUAGUGGAUUCUGUGGCUUCCUAUUUGCAACAUUUGUUGUGAAUAAAUUUUUGCGCUUUGGCCAAAACAAGACUGUUUUUAUGACUUUAUUUCCAAAUGUGUUGAAAGCUUAUGUUGCUGUGUUAUUUACUGUACAGCACUUAAAUAACUUUAUAUACUGAACAUAUGCUAAAGCAGAAUUCACAAAUGGCAUCUCCCUCAGUGCAACUUCAGAAGAAUUUCAGAGAAGCUGCAGUUGGUGUCCUGCUGCAACCACGGAACUUUGCAAGGAAGACAGACGAUUUAAAAGUUUUGAGACAGAAUUAGGAAAAUUAUAAAUACUUGAAAUUGUGACAGUACCAGGAACAUUAAGCCUAAUUUGACUGAAAUCCAAAUACAAACCUUAAUCUAAGAAGCUAAAAGGAAAGCAAUGAAAGAUACAAAGCUUUUACUAGAGCUGAAGGAUUUCAGAAGCCUUUAGAGAUGUGUGUGCUCUAUUAUAUGGGUUAUGUUUCUGACACUUCCCAAUAUGGAUUUAAAGUAGUUUUUUAUUUAAAAAGUCAAGAUAUACAGGCAGUGUGGCAGUAGAUCUACUCUUUGAAUAGAUAAAAAUGCUUUAAAAACUCUUGACAGCUGCUUGUAAGAGGAGCUGUAUUAGAUAUUUUUCUGCUUUUUUUUUUUUUUCUAGUAAAUUUAUUGGCUGAACAGCUUAGGAGGUGUUUCAGGCUAAUUAUCCAUUUGCAAGCAACAACUGUGUCUCAAGUCUUUUGAUCAUGUGCCAAUUUUAAACUGAAAACAAACCUUGAUAUGACUGCACUUUUCACUUCUUUAGACUUUGUCUUUUGUAGUUAGUCAUAAAUUUUGCAUAGAUUUUAAUAUAUGUGCUCCUACUGUCAAAUGUGUGUUCCUUUUACCUAAAUGACACAGACAUCCUAAACCAGCUCUGCUUACUUAAGUGGUAAAGGAAGAGUGUUUUGCCAUAUCAGUUCCUCCAGCAUGUAUAUCUUUUCCUGUUAAAGCACUCCUAUUCCUUAAACAUUUCCCAUUAUCACUGGUGUCCUGACAGCAGUAAUCUUUUAGGAGGUCUAAUCUGAGACCAGGUUAAAAAUAAAAAUGAAAAAAACCCUAAAAUCCUGUGAGCUCAAUCUGACUUUUGUGCUCUGGUGACCAAAGGGUAAAAGAAACUGUUUUAAAUAAAUUUGUUCCCUUUCUAAAUAGGUAACUAGCCAAAUGCAUUUCAAGUAUUUGUUCAACUGAUCAAAUAUUGCUUUAGGUUUAGAAAACAAAUUAACCAAAUAUUUAAAGAAUUAGACAUUUUGUACCUGAACACUUCUCUGUGUCACUGCUUCUGCACUGAUGACCCUAAGUACUGUGGUCAAAAUAAAAGACCUUCUCCAUGAAAAUAAGUCAGACAAACAUUUAAUUUUUAUUUUUUUUCUUCUUCAUGAAACAACUAAGCUGUGGAAUUUCACACUCUUUCUAUUUUACCCUUUUACUUAAGAGAAAGUCACACCAGUGUGUCAAAUUUAAGUCCCUACUUCUGUAGAUACACUGAUUGGCUCACACACACACACACACACAUAUAUAUAUAUAUACAUAUAUAUAUAUAUAUAUAUACACACAUAUAUAUUGGACAGAAGCAUAACUUGAUAGUUGAACAUUAGUUUGAUUUUGAGAUAAACAUUAGUUUGAAUUUGAGAUAAACACAUUUCUGUGUGUGCAGUUUCAGAAAGCAGAACAGCCUGUCCUGACACUAAAUAAACACGGUUCCCAGGUGGAAAUUCUCAGUUUAGACUUCUAACUCAAUGGCUGUAGUUUAAGAUCCUGGCAGUGUUUGAAUCACUGGUAUUAGAUACCAUUCCUCUUUCUGCUCUAGAAAUAGAAACUGUGAACUCUUUUUUCACACUAUUAGGUAAGGUUUUCUACUAAAGAGCUAAUAACAGGAGCAGACUCAGACACACAUAGGCAUGGCAAAGACAUUUUUGCAUGCUACCUAUGACAAAGAGUUUUAAAUAGACCAGAUUAAAGUUUUGGCAGUAAGAUUUUAAAAUCUCAGUUGAUUCUUCCAAUUGCUCUGUUCCAUUCUGUUGGUAGUGUCUCCUGUCACAGUGUGUGAGCUUACAGACUUGGGUGAUUAUUGGAUGUUCUGUUUACAGAAUUGUGAAGCUUUUUUAAAGGUUGCUAGAGCUUAAUUCCUAGCACACCACUUGCUUUGAGUCAUUGCUGGACUGAAUGUAGUGAUGCAAGUCCGAAAAGAAAUGCAAAGAGAAGCACAGAGGAUGGCAACACUCGCUCUUCUUUAACUGCCUUGAUCACAUCUUGCAAUAUGUUUUUAUUUGUACAGUAUAUGAAGAUAACCCAUUUUCUUUAUUGUAUUAGGUAUCUUAAUGAAGUUAUGGGUAUGAGUUAUUAUUAGAUGGCAGCAUUUAUUUGUUUAAUUAGCUAAAUGAUACAAGUGAAAUUUCAUUUUGAACUUAGUCACCAUCUGUUAAACUGCUGAAGCAGUUCAAUAAUUGACUGCUACCAUUACCCACUCCAGAAUGAGCAAGCAAACCCAUGAAUUUUUCCCACAGAAGACUUGUUUCUGAUGUAUUUAUUAAGCACUGGUGGGUAGGUACUGAGAGAAGAUUUUCCUGCUCAUUCAAUACUGCAGGAAGCAAACCACCAUCUUCUCACUGGAGUUGUACCUUGAAAUGGCUACAAAACCUGCCCAGCUCCAGUGGAAGCUGUUUGUUCUCCCUGGAAGUGCUCAGAGUUUCUGAUGGGCAGGAAAUCAGUGUCUGUGCUGGACAGAAACACUGCAGGUCAGGGAGUCACAGCCCCAGCAGCCAGAGAACAUCAGCCAGAGGAGACACUGAUUGAACCAGCAGCUCGCCUGAGAGGAUGAAGAACACAGGGGGAGUUUCCCUUUUAUACAGAUAUUCUCAGCAUUGGGGAAAUGUGAGUCCUGUACACUGUACGACAUCUAUUAAUCUAUACUGGUUGUCUAUUGCCAUUUUUAAAAUUUACUUGCUUGUCUGUGUAAGAAAUCAAAAUUAUAUAUAGAUAUAGAUAUAUAGAUAUAUUUUAAUAAUAAGAAACACCUGAGUUCAGGCCCUUGGAAGCAAAAAUUAUGCUUUCUGCCUUUACUAGACCUCUACCGUCACUUUGAAAUUAGAGGGAAAUAACUGAAAGCCCAAUACAGCAAUGCAUGAUUCUGCUAAAAAGCAACAAAUACCAAAUGAUCUGUGGUAAUUUGAGAGCUGACAAGCUGCAAUUCAUCACCCCAGUAUGUAAAAGGUAGGAUAUACAUAGCAACAUUACGUAUUUUACACUUCUGUUUAUUUUAAGGAAUGGUGUCUUCAGCCAGACGGUGCAAAAAAUGGGAUCCCACAAGCUGCAUAUCCACUUACUUCCACCUUUCUAUCACCUCCUCCUUUUGCUGGCAGAAGUGUUCACAGUGAAUCAAAUUAACAAACUGAUUUGCUGUUAAUCUUUGUGAGGGGACAAAGAGAUAAUUUUCACCCAGAUGGGUUUACGAAACUGUGCAAACACCUGUGCCAAGGAAGAAGUGGGAAAAGAUGGGGAGUGUCUUUCAGCAGCGAUACUGACUUAUGUACAUUUAAAUUGUUGCUAAAACUAUUACCUGAGAUUUUCAUUCACAUGUGUAAAGCUUUCUUUAGAACCUAAACAGAAGCAUUUGGUUGUGUAAUCUUUCACUGUAAGCAGAAUAUGCUCCAUCUAACCUGUAAGCACAUUGUUUGUCCCACUGCAGUCACUAUGUGGCUGUAUUUCUUCCAUUAAGUUAAUAAUCUCUAUUCCAUAUAAUGUGGGUAUUCUAGUGUAAGGCAGGCAAGGAAGAAAUCAGAGCUCUGUGUAAUGACAUUAAGCUUUUAGGUUACAGACAGAGUAAAGGACUCACAGCUGCUUAACAUAUGCCCUCUGCCUGAACUCGCUUUAUCACUUGGUAUCUGACUGCUCUCAACAUAUAAAAAGUUGCUGUGAUUGAUAGUCAGUUAUACAGUAUUUGUCAGGGUGAACUGAAUCAUUAUGUGUAUAGAUUCAGGAAUAUAGAAAAAUAAAGCUGAAAGAAGAACAACAAAAACUGACAUCUUUCCCAUUCAUUAAGCUUUUCUAAGGCAACUGUUUUUGUUUGCAGGAGUUAGUGGUUGCUGGUUUUUCUAACCAGCAAUUGCUGAGUGAUUUAGAGUACAUCUCUGCUCUUUUGUUUGGAUUUCAUUUGUGAAACCAUUUAGAGUUAUAAAACUGUCAACUUAAGAACAUUCUAUAUAUUUUGCCAGAGAGGGCCUCCUGUAUGCAGAAUUUAUGCAUUUCUCUCCAUUUUGUGUGCUGUUUGAAUUUUCAUUAUACAUCACUGUUCUUUUUCUGGUUAUUUGAAUAAUUCCCACUAAUUUAGAGCAGCAGAAAUCCUGGAACUAAUUAUGAAAUUACAUCUCAGAUCAGUCAUCAGAUAUUGCUAACCACAACAUCUCACCCUUGGCCAAACCUAGCCCAGCAAUGCAGUAAUAGAAUGUUCUGCUGAUGCCUAAAAACUCUUGAAAUUUAGAAACCCUGACUGCAGCUAGGAUUGAAUCAUGCACCUAAACAUUAGAAAGCAUAGACCAGAACUGUUAAUGAUGUUAAUUACAGUAGUUAAACCAUGCUAUGGUACCUUUCUAAACUCUCAGAUACCCUAAAAUAAUGACAAGUUAGGAGUUGAAAAAUGUUAUGCAAACUUGUAUUACCUACUACUCGGAGCUUUGCUCACUUGUUUCUCUCCUGCAGAAUUCCUUUGGUGGCUAAGCUCAGUUUUACAUUGUGUGGAAGCUGUAAGGCCCAAGUCUAUCAUCAUUCUGCACAACCUCAAUCUCUCCUGGCCUUGCUGCUGGCCCUGUUUCAUGUGUUUCAUAUAUUUAUUUCAGAUUUUCUAUUCCUAUUGUUCAUAGGAUAUGGCAGAUUUAAGUCAUCAAACACUUUAAUUAUAUAAAUGUGGCUGUGAUAACUUUCUGUAACUUAAAAAUUGGAAUUUACUAUGAAUUUGCACCUCUUAUUGUUCCUGGAUGCUUGCUUGGUUAUGUGCAGUAGGAGAUAAGCCAGUGCUUCAAAACUGCUUUGGGAUUUUUGGAGUCAAAAGUCUUUAAGGUUCAAUGACAGAUUUUAGGAAAGCUUUAAAUAACUGAAGAGUUCACUCAGGGAAUCUGGAAGAAUCUGUGCAGGAAGCUCAAUGUUUUGUCUUUGCUAUCUUAAUAGAAAAACAGGUUCUGAUUUUCCUGGCUUCCCUAACUUUUCCAGUGUCCCCUGUUGUCCUUGACUUCAAAUUUCAGUAACCAUGUUUCCUGCAUCCCUUGCAGGAGAUCUUAUCUCCAUUUUCCACCUUAUGACCUUCCAGUACAAUUUUAGUUCCCAGUAUUGCAAGGCAAAGUAUUAACUUUUAAAGAAAAUUUUUAAAAAGAAAAGAAAAUAUGAGGAAAUUUCUAUGUGAAACUUGAUUUUUUGGGUUUUUUUUUUUUUGGGGGGGGGGUUCCCUUUGGAGACUGCAAUUUUACUUAACAUGUUUUAGGAAACAUAUUGACUUUUACUUCAAUCUUCAACAGAGAAGUAUCAUAUCUGCUUGCUCAUUUCGCAUUCACAAUAAUGGAAUGUCUCUCAUUAAGGUAGAAUAUUUUCAUUCUGAUUGUACUUUACUUUUUCUGUUUCAAAGCAUAUUUUAUUGCUUGCAAUUACAAAAAGAAAUAUGAAGCUUUUCUGUUGCCAUUCAGCAGUGAAUUCCGACAUCUUGGCUUUUUUCCAGACUAGUUAAUUUUUUUUAAAUUUUGUUUUGAAGAUCAGGAUUUCCCUUGAGAUGGACCUUCCAUUUGCUGUUAAUCUCACUCUUCCUUUGCUCUCCUUUUUUUCUGCCAGCCAUAAACUACUUCACUUUCAAAGCUCUGCAGUCUAAUCCCACUGUAGCCAUUAUCCCUCUGCACUAUGGAAAUGUUGACUCUUGGUUCAGUAACAGCUCAAACAUUUACCUUUGACCAUCUGUGUUUUCUAAUGACCAUCUCCAGUCCUGUGCUGCCCUGUGUGCCAUGAAGAAGUUCCUUGUUGUUCCUAUCUUAAAACUUUCUUUUGAUCCCUGUAAAAUUACAUGAUAACAGAACAGGUAUGUGAUAAAGUUAAUCCCCCUCUUGGUGGGUCCAGGCUUUCUUGUAUUUCAUGUAUUUUUCCAUCUGUGGUUAUCCACUCUCUUUUGUAUUUAACUUUAAAAUUACGUGGGCAGCUGUUGUUUCCUGUUGUAUUUAUACUUGGUUUAUCAAAUAUGGAAAAUAUAAGUUCAGCAUGUAAAGCCUGGCUUUAAAACUUAUCAUGAGUUGUAAAUUCUGUCCAUGUAAAUUCUAGUACUCAUAAAUAUACUUAAGCUACUUAUUAAUGAAAUGUAAAUUAAUACAAUUUUAUUUUAGGGUAACUUGCUAGAUGCUUAAUUCCAAAAUGAAGCAAACACUACCAACACCUUGUUUUGUGCUGCUUUUACAAUGAUACUUUUCAGUGUGGUCUGCUGAAAUACAAACAGGUUUUAUGGAGCAUUUUUACUAAACAGUCAACAGGUUUUAAUUUAGCUUCUUAAAUCAUAAUUGUUUUUCAAUUUUCUGCUCUGCCUCACAAACGCAUAAUGAAGGCACACCUGAUGCUAUAAAAACCAGAUGUCAUUUCAGUAUUUUCAGCUGUGUGAUAAAUUUGAGAGCUUAAAAGUUGGUAUCAUAGAUGUAUAGUUACCAGAGAGCUCACAAGAACAGAAAGUAUGUAGAGUGUUGCUAAAUAAAUAGGAUUUUGGAAUGGGUUGCACUUUAUUUUCAGAGACUUUGAAAAUGAUGGAUGGAAUUUUCUUAAGGAACUUUCAGGAGACAAUUUCAAACCUACAAACAAAUUCAAAUUCUUUCCCCCUACCAGUCAUGUAAGUACCACUUGCUCAUGGGGAUUUGAAGAGCAGCAUGCAGACCUGAAGGAAAGUUAGAUUGUGUGAUGCAUAUCAGCUCUUAAAAACAUUCCUCCUUCACCACUCUCAUUGAGAAAGAAUUUCAUAUGAUGUUCAGUGGCAACUCAGCUUGCCUGAAAUACAGUUUUUCAGUCCAGCUUUAUAGUACUUGUUGCUCUAAACAUUUUCAAAUUCUUCAUACAGGUGUUCAAAGGUCUCUUAGUGAAAAUUAUAUAUAUUUAGAAGAAAGGUCAUUUCACACAAACUCAUUGUCACAAUCUCAUUCAUCCAUCUCUGGUUAUCACUAGGCAGAAAGUCAAAUGCAAAAAUCAGUAAUGCCCAUCACAUUUCUUCCUUAUUUUGUUUAGAGGUGUCUCUCUUUUCACAGCCAGAGGGUCCAGUUCUCUGUCUCCAAACCAUUUAUCCCACUGGGAAGCAAACCAAGGGACAAGACACGUGCUGAGGUUGUUGAUACCCUUAUGCUCAGGAUGAAGCUGCAGGACAGUUCAGAGGCUGCUCAUGUCCCCAGUGCUGCUGUGGCUGUCUAUUUUAGGGUGACUGAAUCAUGAAAUGAUCACAUUCUGCUAAAGAAAUGAAUCCUGCCCACUCCAUUUUCUUGAGUGUCUUCUCUUGGUCUUGUUCAUCACAAAUUGAAAGUUGCGUGUUCCUGCCUGCGUGUGCAGCUGAGUGUAUAUAAAUGUAGGUAUGGAUGGAUAUUCCAUUCUGGAAUAUUUAGCUAGGUUUUGAAGAAUAUCUUGGUAUAACUGACUAGAAAUGGUGCUGGUUUUAUUAAGAAGUUAAGGAAAAAAUGUUCUGCUAAGUCUGUGAGAAUAUGGAGGGUUUGAGAGUAGUGAGCAUGUCUCAGGACAUUCAUUCCCUGUAGCUGUACAUCCUGUUAACUCUGCAGCUGAAAACACUGACAGCUUGUUGGGUCAGGAGGUGUGAAGCUUAUUAUGGGUUUUGUUGACCUUGUAGUUUUUAACAAAAAUGUCUUCCUAAGUCAAAUAUAAAGAUUCCUGUUUGAAUUGUAGGGAAAGCCACCUUUCCUAAGGAUCAAUAACCACUUAUUUUCUAGUUAAUAUUUAGUAUUCAGCUUCACUGAUCUUUCCCAUAAAUGGCAAAAAUGUACCUUCUCCAGCUGUAUGUUAAUUAUGUUUCAUUUUAAGUCAGAAUGGGUACAUUACAGAGAAACUCUCAAUUUGAGACUGAGCAAACUAAAUAUACUCAGCUGAGUGAAUCCAGCACUGUGAACAUGAACCACUGGUAUAAAUAGGAAAGGAGACACCUUGAAGUUUUACCAUACUCAAGAAGUGUCAGAUCAUGUUCAUUUGAAAGGGAUGGCAACACUCUUUUUCCCCUAGUGCAGGCAUGAAUAUUGCUUCACCAAACACAGGCUGUCCAGGUGUUCAACAGACUCUGGUGUUUGCACCUUUAUUGUUGAAUUUCAGCAUUUCUUGAAUGGCCAUUUGACUUGUUUUUUAUAAUCUCACGUCUCUUCCUUCAUAAAGACUUAAAUGGGGGAAAUUAAAACAAAGUGUUUGUCCUUCCAACUUUAAAAUACUUCCACCUACUUUUCUGACAGAUUCAAAACUUUAUGGACUGUUUUCAAACAGCUCUUUUACCAGCAAGCAUUGCUGUAAGGAUAAUUGGCAUGAACUAUUAGGAACUCUUUAUUAUGAUGAUGUGUUUCAUUGUUCAGGACAAAGCACUCCUGAUGAUACAAGACCUCCAAGAGUGGUAGAAAUGUGAGAAAUUGGUUCUCUACAGUCCUUUUCUGUUGUAUCCAACUCGGCAAAGCAACAUGGGAUUCUUAUAGAUCUUCCAGAGGGAGAGUCACUGCACAGAACUGGCUUUAAUAGCAUUGACAUGUUUGAAAAACCCUGGUAUGACUGCUAGAAUAUCUGUAUUUGACCACAACUUCUGAUGGAGAAGAUGCAUUUCUUUCUAUGUUGUGUGUUUGGAAAGAACAUAUUUCAUUAACAGUGGUCACUCAUGCCACUUGGCUUCUGAAAAAGGCAUCCCUAUGAAAAAAAUGUCCCAAAUUUUAAAGAUAAUAUUUAUAUUUUUGCUGAGGGAGUAAUGGGGAGGAAUAUCACUUGUGCUUGAGAAUGUCAGUAUAAGUGAUAUGCGUUGUGUAAGUCCCACCUAAGCUUUCCUUGUCUGAAAUGUUAAAUAAAGACUUUAAUGAGUUCCUCUGCAUAAGGAUAAAUUUAGCUCCAAGAGCAGUGCAAAGCAGACUUGUUGAUUGGUGUGGGAAUGAUUGCUGUGAUUCCUGAGCUAUGAAGGUGCUGUCAUUUCUGCAAAGGAUCUGUGCAGGGGAGGCAAAACAGAGAACUGACUCUGCAAAAUGAAUUGUGGGUCUGUGGGUAUGCCCAGAACUUCAUGUAGGGUCCUAUUCUAUUAUGAAUCAUAGCUUUGCUGUUUUAUUGUAAAUGACUGUUCUUUAAUUAUAACUUCAGCUAUAAAUUUGUGAUUUUUUUUUGUGUGAAAAGUUCAAAGCUGGAUUAAUAAAUUAGUCCAGAAACUUCUUACUAUUUAAA